GAUGAACGCUAGCGGCAGGCUUAAUACAUGCAAGUCGAGGGGCAGCAUGACUGUAGCAAUACAGUUGAUGGCGACCGGCAAACGGGUGCGGAACACGUACAGAACCUUCCUUCGAGCGGGGAAUAGCCCAGAGAAAUUUGGAUUAAUACCCCAUAGUAUUACGGAGUGGCAUCACUUUGUAAUUAAAGAUUUAUCACUUGAAGAUGGCUGUGCGGCUGAUUAGGUAGUUGGCGGGGUAACGGCCCACCAAGCCUGCGAUCAGUAACUGGUGUGAGAGCACGACCAGUCACACAGGCACUGAGACACGGGCCCGACUCCUACGGGAGGCAGCAGUAAGGAAUAUUGGUCAAUGGACGAAAGUCUGGACCAGCCAUGCCGCGUGGAGGAUGAAGGUCCUCUGGAUUGUAAACUUCUUUUAUAUGGGACGAAAAAAGGCUUUUCUAAGUCGUCUGACGGUACCAUAUGAAUAAGCACCGGCUAACUCCGUGCCAGCCGCCGCGGUAACAC
rnacentral:rRNA from 1 species